UCCGUUUUCACAACGGCAGUCUCUCUAGAGUCCCCGGCCGAACCGUUGGUAACUAAAGACAAGGGUUUCGCUCGUUGAGGGACUUAACCCGACAUCUCACGACACGAGCUGACGACAGCCAUGCAACACCUGUCCACGUUUCACCCUUGCGGGCAAGGUAUCCAGCUUUCACCGGACCUAUCCGUAGAUUUCAAACCCGGGUAAGGUUCUUCGCGUUGCUUCGAAUUGAACCACAUGCUCCACCGCUUGUGUGAGCCCCCGUCAAUUCCUUUGAGUUUUAGCCUUGCGACCGUACUCCCCAGGCGGGGCACUUAACACAUUUGCUUCGGCAAAGAGAGUAUCGACGCUCCCUCUACCCAGUGCCCAUCGUUUACAGCUAGGACUAC
rnacentral:misc_RNA from 1 species